CGGGGGAGGCCAGAUCCUGGGCUGUGUCCCGGCGCCCUGUGCUCCGGGGCCUGCGCUGUUGGAUUCGCGCUCCCGCCCCGCAGCCCCCU
rnacentral:pre_miRNA from 1 species